rnacentral:rRNA from 1 species
UUAAACUGAAGAGUUUGAUCAUGGCUCAGAUUGAACGCUGGCGGCAGGCCUAACACAUGCAAGUCGAGCGGCAGCACGGGAAGCUUGCUUCCUGGUGGCGAGCGGCGGACGGGUGAGUAAUGCAUAGGAAUCUGCCCGGUAGUGGGGGAUAACCUGGGGAAACCCAGGCUAAUACCGCAUACGCCCUACGGGGGAAAGCAGGGGCUCUUCGGACCUUGCGCUAUCGGAUGAGCCUAUGUCGGAUUAGCUGGUUGGUGAGGUAAUGGCUCACCAAGGCGACGAUCCGUAGCUGGUCUGAGAGGAUGAUCAGCCACAUCGGGACUGAGACACG